UCGAGGGGUACAGGGAGUGCUUGCACUCUGCUGACGACCGGCGCACGGGUGCGUAACGCGUAUACAAUUUGCCUUAUACUGGGGUAUAGCCUUUAGAAAUGAAGAUUAAUCCCCCAUAGUCUCUUAUUAUGGCAUCAUAAAAAGAGUAAAGGUUACGGUAUAAGAUGAGUAUGCGUUCUAUUAGUUUGUUGGUGAGGUAACGGCUCACCAAGACUACGAUAGAUAGGGGCCCUGAGAGGGGGAUCCCCCACACUGGUACUGAGACACGGACCAGACUCCUACGGGAGGCAGCAGUGAGGAAUAUUGGACAAUGGAGGCAACUCUGAUCCAGCCAUGCCGCGUGCAGGAAGACUGCCCUAUG
rnacentral:rRNA from 1 species